rnacentral:rRNA from 1 species
UACGGAGGGUGCGAGCGUUGUCCGGAAUCACUGGGCGUAAAGGGUGCGUAGGUGGCGUCGUAAGUCGGGUGUGAAAUCUCGGGGCUUAACUCCGAAACUGCAUUCGAUACUGCGGUGCUUGAGGACUGGAGAGGAGGCUGGAAUUUACGGUGUAGCAGUGAAAUGCGUAGAGAUCGUAAGGAAGACCAGUGGCGAAGGCGGGUCUCUGGACAGUUCCUGACACUGAGGCACGAAGGCCAGGGGAGCAAACGGG